rnacentral:rRNA from 1 species
ACGGUUUCAGUUACACGUGGAUAACCUGCCCUCAGGUCUGGCAUAACCCCGGGAAACUGGGGAUAAUUCCGGAUAACGCAUAUGUGCUGGAAUGCUUUGUGCGUGAAAGGUCCUCCGCCUGAGGAUGGGUCUGCGGCCUAUCAGGUAGUAGCGGGUGUAAUGUACCUGCUAGCCGACGACGGGUACGGGUUGUGAGAGCAAGAGCCCGGAGAUGGAUUCUGAGACAUGAAUCCAGGCCCUACGGGGCGCAGCAGGCGCGAAAACUUUACAAUGCGGGAAACCGUGAUAAGGGGACACCGAGUGCCAGCAACAUUUGCUGGCUGUCCAGGUGUGUAAACUACACCUGUUAGCAAGGGCCGGGCAAGACCGGUGCCAGCCGCCGCGGUAACACCGGCGGCCCGAGUGGUGAUCGUUAUUAUUGGGUCUAAAGGGUCCGUAGCCGGUUUAGUCAGUCCUCCGGGAAAUCUGUCAGCUCAACUGAUAGGCUAUCGGGGGAUACUGCUAGACUUGGAACCGGGAGAGGUAAGAGGUACUACAGGGGUAGGAGUGAAAUCUUGUAAUCCCUGUGGGACCACCUGUGGCGAAGGCGUCUUACCAGAACGGGUUCGACGGUGAGGGACGAAAGCUGGGGGCACGAACCGGAUUAGAUACCCGGGUAGUCCCAGCCGUAAACGAUGCUCGCUAGGUGUCAUGCAUGGUGCGACCGUGUAUGGUGCCGUAGGGAAGCCGUGAAGCGAGCCACCUGGGAAGUACGGCCGCAAGGCUGAAACUUAAAGGAAUUGGCGGGGGAGCAC